rnacentral:rRNA from 1 species
CCUACGGGUGGCAGCAGUGAGGAAUAUUGGUCAAUGGGCGCGAGCCUGAACCAGCCAAGUAUCGUGAAGGAUGACUGCCCUACGGGUUGUAAACUUCUUUUGUAAAGGAACAAAGUGAGGCACGUGUGCCUUUCUGUAUGUACUUUAUGAAUAAGGAUCGGCUACCUCCGUGCCAGCAGCCGCGGUAAUACGGAGGAUCCGAGCGUUUUCCGGAUUUAUUUGGUUUAAAGGGGGCGUAGAGGGGUUGUUAAGUCAGUUGUGAAAGGUUGGGGCUCAACCCGAAAAGUGCAAUUGAUACUGGCAGUCUGGAGGGCAGUUGAGGUAGGCGGAAUGCGUGGUGUAGCGGUGAAAUGCUUAGAUAUCAUGCAGAACUCCGAUUGCGAAGGCAGCUUACUAAGCUGUCACUGACGUUGAGGCACGAAAGCGUGGGUAUCAAACAGGAUUAGAUACCCCGGUAGUC